GACGAACGCUGGCGGCGUGCUUAACACAUGCAAGUCGAACGGUAAGGCCCUUCGGGGUACACGAGUGGCGAACGGGUGAGUAACACGUGGGUGAUCUGCCCUGCACUUCGGGAUAAGCCUGGGAAACUGGGUCUAAUACCGGAUAGGACCACUGCCUGCAUGGGUGGUGGUGGAAAGCUUUUGCGGUGUGGGAUGGGCCCGCGGCCUAUCAGCUUGUUGGUGGGGUGAUGGCCUACCAAGGCGACGACGGGUAGCCGGCCUGAGAGGGUGACCGGCCACAGUGGGACUGAGAUACGGCCCAGACUCCUACGGGGGGCAGCAGUGGGGAAUAUUGCACAAUGGGCGCAAGCCUGAUGCAGCGACGCCGCGUGAGGGAUGACGGCCUUCGGGUUGUAAACCUCUUUCAGCACCGACGAAGCGCAAGUGACGGUAGGUGCAGAAGAAGGACCGGCCAACUACGUGCCAGCCGCCGCAGUAA
rnacentral:rRNA from 1 species